rnacentral:rRNA from 1 species
CCUACGGGAGGCAGCAGUGGGGCAUAUUGGGCAAUGGGCGCAAGCCUGACCCAGCAACGCCGCGUGAAGGAAGAAGGCUCUCGGGUUGUAAACUUCUUUUAUCAGGGACGAAGCAAGUGACGGUACCUGAUGAAUAAGCCACGGCUAACUACGUGCCAGCAGCCGCGGUAAUACGUAGGUGGCAAGCGUUAUCCGGAUUUACUGGGUGUAAAGGGCGUGUAGGGGGGAAAGUAAGUCAGAUGUGAAAACCAUGUGCUCAACCUGUGGCCUGCAUUUGAAAUGGUUGUUCUUGAGUACUGGAGAGGCAGACGGAAUUCCUAGGGUAGCGGGG